AUACGGGGGGUGCAAGCGUUAUUCGGAUUUAUUGGGCGUAAAGAGCGCGUAGGCGGCUUGGUAAGUCAGAUGUGAAAGCCCGGGGCUCAACCCCGGAAGUGCAUUUGAAACUAUCAGGCUUGAGUAUGGGAGAGGGAAGUGGAAUUCCUGGUGUAGAGGUGAAAUUCGAAGAUAUCAGGAGGAACACCGGUGGCGAAGGCGACUUCCUGGACCAAUACUGACGCUGAGGCGCGAAGGCGUGGGGAGCAAACAGGAUUAGAAACCCCAGUAGUCC
rnacentral:rRNA from 1 species